rnacentral:lncRNA from 1 species
GAAGAGAGACGUUUUUUAUAAAAAAAUUUUAGGAUACCAAAGACAUAACAUAAAUUGAAAAAUAAAGCGGAAGAUAUCCAAGAUAGAGGGAGAUAUGUAAGAUAGAGGGAAGUAUACAAGAUAGGAGGAGAAAUUAAUAGUCAAGCAAAAACUUCUCAAUAAUAUGUUUUGUCAUCAUCAAAAAGAGGGAGAUUGUGAAGAAGAUGUUCAUUGUCCUUUUUAGCUUGGUUUUGAUGAAUACAAAAGGCUAGAAAAGAAGAAAAAGAUUGGAAUAAAAUAUCAAGUUUG